UAGCACCAUCUGCUUCACUGUCAAGACCACCUGCUGACACCAAAAGGAAACUGUACGAGCCACAGAGUAAUGUAGUCCCCCCCAGGCCUACAGUGAAGAAAUCUGUGCCCCUUCCACCUGAGCUGCAGUUUCUGGCGAAAGAGCUUGCUAUUCCCCAGCAAACCGAAGGGACUGUCUCAGCACCAGGAACCCUGCCACCUUCUGAGACCUCCUCUUCUGCUCAUACACCUGAACCACCACACAGUAAGAACUGUUUUCUUAAGUGUUACUGUGCCUCAGAAUAGUCUAUAUCAGACAGUCUAUAAUAAGGAGAAUAAAACUUAUAAAUCCC